rnacentral:rRNA from 1 species
AGUGAACGCUGGCGGCGUGCUUAAUACAUGCAAGUCGAACGGAAUUUAAGAGAGCUUGCUCUUUUAAAUUUAGUGGCGCACGGGUGAGUAAUAUAUAGCUAAUCUGCCCCUUGCUGGAGGACAACAGUUAGAAAUGACUGCUAAUACUCCAUACUCCUUUUUACCAUAAGAUAAAUCGGGAAAGAAUUUCGGCAAGGGAUGAGACUAUAUCGUAUCAGCUAGUCGGUGGGGUAACGGCCUACCGAGGCUAUGACGCGUAACUGGUCUGAGAGGAUGAUCAGUCACAUUGGAACUGAGACACGGUCCAAACUCCUACGGGAGGCAGCAGUAGGGAAUAUUGCGCAAUGGGGGAAACCCUGACGCAGCAACGCCGCGUGGAGGAUGACACUUUUCGGAGCGUAAACUCCUUUUGUUAGGGAAGAAUAAGGACGGACCUAACGAAUAAGCACCG